CGACGUGCGGCAGGUUGAAGGGAGCGAUUGGGUGGAGGCGAAAUGCCUCACGUAUGCACGCCUUGAGAUAGUUGAGAUGCAUGAUGUCCGACUCUUGCACCAGUCGCUCGCGACCGACCACCCGGUCCUGUUGGGGAACGUAGCAGAAAUUCAAAAUUUUCCUACGUGUCACCAAGAUCUAUCUAUGGAGAAACCAGCAACGAGGGGAAGGAGAGUGCAUCUACAUACCCUUGUAGAUCGCUAAGCGGAAGCGUUCAAGUGAACGGGGUUGAUGGAGUCGUACUCGUCGUGAUUCAAAUCACCGAUGAUCAAGUGCCGAACGUACGGCACUUCCGCGUUCAACACACGUACAACCCGGUGACGUCUCCCACGCCUUGAUCCAGCAAGGAGAGAGGGAGAGGUUGAGGAAGACUCCAUCCAACAGCAGCACAACGGUGUGGUGGUGGUGGAGGAGCGUGGCAAUCCCGCAGGGCUUCGCCAAGCACCAUGGGAGAGGAGGAGUGGGGAGAGACAGGGCUGCACCAAGAGGGAGAGAACUCAUGUGUAUGGCAGCCCCAAACCUCAACUAUAUAUAGGGGGAAGGGGGGGCUGCGCCCCCUUUAGGGUUUCCCACCCCCAAGGGGUGCGGCCAGCCCUAGAUGGCAAAGGGGGUGGCGGCCAAGAGGGGAGAGGAGAGGGAGGCGCACCAAUAUGGGCCUUAAGGCCCAUCUGGACUAGGGUUUGCCCCCUCCCACUCUCCCUUGCGCCUUGGCCCCCUUGUGGGGGGCGCACCAGCCCUCCUAGGGGCUGGUCCCCUCCCACACUUGGCCCACGCAACCUUCUGGGGCAGGUGGCCCCACUUGGUGGACCCCCGGGACCCUCCCGGUGGUCCCGGUACAAUACCGAUAUCGCCCGAAACUUUUCCGGUGACCAAAACAGGACUUCCCAUAUAUAAAUCUUUACCUCCAGACCAUUCCGGAACUCCUCGUGACGUUCGGGAUCUCAUCCGGGACUCCGAACAACAUUCGGUAACCACAUACAAGCUUCCUUUAUAACCCUAGCGUCACCGAACCUUAAGUGUGUAGACCCUACGGGUUCGGGAGACAUGUAGACAUGACCGAGACGUUCUCCGGUCAAUGACCAACAGCGGGAUCUGGAUACCCAUGAUGGCUCCCACAUGUUCCACGAUGAUCUCAUCGGAUGAACCACGGUGUCAAGGACUUAAUCAAUCCCGUAUUCAAUUCCCUUUGUCUAUCGGUAUGUUACUUGCCCGAGACUCGAUCGUCGGCAUCCAAUACCUUGUUCAAUCUCGUUACCGGCAAGUCACUUUACUCGUUCCGUAACACAUCAUCCCGUGAUCAACUCCUUGGUCACAUUGCGCAUAUGAUGAUGUCCUACUGAGUGGGCCCAGAGAUACCUCUCCGUUUACACGGAGUGACAAAUCCCAGUCUCGAUCCGCAUAAAACAAUGGAUACUUUCGGAGAUACCUGUAGUGCACCUUUAUAGUCACCCAGUUACGUUGUGACGUUUGAUACACCCAAAGCACUCCUACGGUAUCCAGGAGUUACACGCUCUCAUGGUCAAAGGAAGAGAUACUUGACAUUUGGCAAAGCUCUAGCAAACGAACUACACGAUCUUUGUGCUAGGCUUAGGAUUGGGUCUUGUCCAUCACAUCAUUCUCCUAAUGAUGUGAUCCCGUUAUCAACGACAUCCAAUGUCCAUAGCCAGGAAACCAUGACUAUCUGUUGAUCACAACGAGCUAGUCAACUAGAGGCUCACUAGGGACAUGGUGUUGUCUAUGUAUUCACACGUGUAUUACGAUUUCCGGAUAAUACAGUUAUAGCAUGAAUAAAAGACUAUUAUCAUGAACAAAGAAAUAUAAUAAUAAUCAAUUUAUUAUUGCCUCUUGGGCAUAUUUCCAACAGUCUCCCAGUUGCACUAGAGUCAAUAAUCCAGUUCACAUCGCCAUGUGAUUAACACUCACAGGUCACAUCGCCAUGUGACUAAUACCCAAGAGUUUACUAGAGUCAGUAGUCUAGUUCACAUCACUAUGUGAUUAACACUCAAUGAGUUUUAUGUUUGAUCAUGUUGCUUGUGAGAGAGGUUUUAGUCAACGGGUCUGAACCUUUCAGAUCCGUGUGUGCUUUACAAAUCUCUAUGUCAUCUCCUAGAUGCAGCUACCACGCUCUAUUUGGAGCUAUUCCAAAUAACUGUUCUACUUGGAGCUAUUCUAAAUUAUUGCUCCAUUAUAUGUAUCCGGUCUCUCUACUCAGAGCUAUCGGAUAGGUGUCAAGCUUGCAUCGACAUAACCCUUUACGACGAACUCUUUUACCACCUCCAUAAUCGAGAAAAUUCCUUAGUCCACUAGUUACUAAGAAUAACUUUGACCGCUGUCCUGUGAGCCAUUCUUGGAUCACUCUUGUACCCCUUGACUAACUCAUGGCAAGGCACACUUCAGGUGCGGUACACAGCAUAGCAUACUGAAGAGCCUACGUCUUAAGCAUAGGGGACGACCUUCGUCCUUUCUCUCUAUUCUGCCGUGGUCGAGCUUUAAGUCUUAACUUCGUACCUUACAACUCAGGCAAGAACUCCUUCUUUGACUGGUCCAUCUUGAACACCUUCAAGAUCAUGUCAAGGUAUGUGCUCAUUUGAAAGUAUUAUUAGGCAUUUUGAUCUAUCCUUAUAGAUCUCGAUGCUCAAUGUUCAAGUAGCUUAAUCCAGGUUUUCUAUUGAAAAACACCUUUCAAAUAACCCUAUAUGCUUUCUAGAAAUUCUACAUCAUUUCUGAUCAACAUAUACUCAUCAGAAAUUCUAUAGUGCUCCCACUCACUUCUUUGGAAAUACAAGUUUCUCAUAUACUCAUCAGAAAAUCUUUGACCAUCAUCAAAGCAUACAUUCCAACUCCGAGAUGCUCACUCCAGUCCUUAAAAGGAUUGCUGGAGCUUUGCAUACUUAUUAGCAUCUUUUGGGAUUGACAAAACCUUCCGGUUGUAUCACAUACAACCUUUCCUCAAUAAAAUCAUCGAGGAAACAAUGUUUUGACAUCCUAUCUGCAGGAUUUCAUAAAUAAUGCAGUAAUCGCUAAUAUAAUUCCAACAGACUCUUAGCAUCGCUACGAGUGAGAAAAUCUCAUCGUAGUCAACUCCUUGAACUUGUCGGAAAACAUCUUAACGACAAGUCGAGCUUUCUUAAUGGUGACAUUUACCAUCAUUGUUCGUCUUCCUUUUGAAAUCCAUCUGUACUCAUUAGCCUUACGACCAUCGAGCCAUUUUGCCAAAGUCUACACUUUGUUUUCAUACAUGGAUCCUCUCUCGGAUUUUAUGGCCUCAAGCCAUUUAUCGGAAUCCGGGCCCACCAUCGCUUCUCCAUAGCUCGUAGGUUCAUUGUUGUCUAGCAACAUGACUUCCAAGACAGGAUUACCGUACCACUCUGAAGUAGUACGUAUCCUUGUCACCCUACGAGGUACGGCAGUGAUUUGAUCUGAAACUUCAUGAUCAAUAUCAUAAGCUUCCACUUCAAUUGGUGUAUGUGCCACGGGAACAACUUCCUGUGCCCUGCUACACACUGGUUGAAGUGAUGGUUCAAUAACCUCAUCAAGUCUCCACCAUCCUCCCACUCAACUCUUUCGAGAGAAACCUUUCCUCGAGAAAGGACCCGAUUCUAGAAACAAUUCAUAUUGCUUUCGGAUCUGAAUUAGGAGGUAUACCCAACUGUUUUGGGUGUCCUAUGAAGAUGUAUUUUAUCCGCUUUGGGUUCGAGCUUAUCAAUCCUGAAACUUUUUCACAUAAGCGUCACAGCCCCAAACCUUUAAGAAACGACAACUUAGGUUUCUCCAAAUGGUGUCGUCUCAACGGAAUUAUGUGGUGCCCUAUUUAAAGUGAAUGUGGUUGUCUCUAAUGCCUAACCCAUGAACGAUAGUGGUAAUUCGAUAAGAGACAUCAUGGUACGCACCAUAUCCAAUAGGGUGCAACUAUGAUGUUCGGACACACCAUCACACUAUGGUGUUCCAGGCAGUAUUAAUUGCGAAACAAUUUCCACAAUGUCUUAAUUGUGUGCCAAAACUCCUAACUCAGAUAUUCAUCUCUAUGAUCAUAUCAUAGACAUUUAAUCCUCUUGUCACAAUGAUCUUCUACUUUACUCUGAAAUUACUUGAACCAUUCAAUAACUCAGACUUGUGUUUCAUCAAGUAAAUAUUCUCAACAUCUACUCAAAUCAUCUGUGAAGUAAGAACAUAACGAUAUUCACUGCAUGCCUCAGCACUCAUUGGACUGCACACAUCAAAAUGUGUUGCUUCCAACAAGUUGCUAUCUUGUUCCAUUUUACUGAAAACGAGGCUUUUCAGUCAUCUUGCCCAUGUGGUAUGAUUUGCAUAUCUCAAGUGAUUCAAAAUCAAGUGAGUCCAAACGGUCCAUUUGCAUGGAGUUUCUUCAUGCAUAUACACCAACAGACAUGGUUCGCAUGUCUCAAACUUUUCAAAAAUGAGUGAGUCCAAAGAUCCAUCAACAUGGAGCUUCUUCAUGCGUUUUAAACCAAUAUGACUUACAUGGCAGUGCCACCAGUAAGUGGUACUAUCAUUACUAUCUUUUGGCAUGAAAAUGUGUAUCACUACGAUCGAGAUUCAAUAAACCAUUUUAGGUGCAAGACCACUGAAGGUAUUAUUCACAUAAAUAGAGUAACUAUUAUUCUCCUUAAAUGAAUAACCGUAUUGCGAUAGACAUAAUCCAAUCAUGUCUAUGCUCAACGCAAACACACAAUGAACGUUAUUCAGGUUUAAUACUAAUCUUGAUGGUAGAGGGAGCGUACGAUGUUUGAUCACAUCAGACUUGGAAACACUUCCAACACAUAUCGUCAGCUCUCCUUUAGCUAGUCUCCGUUUAUUCCGUAGCUUUUAUUUCGAGUUACUAACACUUAGCAACCGAACCGGUAUCUAAUACCCUGGUGCUACUAGGAGUACUAGUAAAGUACACAUUAACAUAAUGUAUAUCCAAUAUACUUCUAUCGACUUUGCCAGCCUUCUCAUCUACCAAGUAUCUAGGGUAAUUCUGCUCCAGUGGCUGUUCCCCUUAUUACAGAAGCACUUAGUCUCGGGUUUUGGGUUCAACCUUGGGUCUCUUCACUAGAGUAGCAGCUGAAUUGCCGUUUCAUGAAGUAUCCCUUUGUUCCCUUGCCCUUCUUGAAACUAGUGGUUUCACCAACCAUCAACAAUUGAUGCUCUUUCUUGAUUUCUACUUUCGCGGUGUCAAACAUCGCGAAUACCUCAAGGAUCAUCAUAUCUAUCCCUGAUAUGUUAUAGUUCAUCACGAAGCUCUAGCAGCUUGGUGGCAAUGACUUUGGAGAAACAUCACUAUCUCAUUUGGAAGAUCAACUCCCACUCGAUUCAAGUGAUUGUUGCACUCAGACAAUCUGAGCAGAAGCUCAACGAUUGAGAUUUUCUCCCUUAGUUUGUAGGCUAAGAAAAUUGUCGGAGGUCUUAUACCUCUUGACGUGGGCACGAGCCUGAAAUCCCAAUUUCAGCCCUCGAAGCAUCUCAUAUGUUUCGCGAUGUUUCGAAAACGUCUUUCGUGCCUCAACUCUAAACCGUUUAACUGAACUAUCACGUAGUUAUCAAGACGUGUAUGUCCGAUGUUCACAACAUCCACAAACGACGUUUGGGGUUCAGCAUACUGAGCGGUGCAUUAAGGACAUAAGCUUUCUACUGAUCGCAUAAUCGCUACUAUUAACUUUCAACUAUAAUUUUCUCUAGGAACAUAUCUAAACAGUAGAACUAUAGCGCGAGCUACGACAUAAUUUGCAAAAGGUCUUUUGACUAUGUUCAGGAUAAUUAAGUUCAUCUUAUGAACUCCCACUCAGAUAGACAUCCCUCUGGUCAUCUAAGUGAUCACAUGAUCCGAGUCAACUAGGCCGUGUCCGAUCAUCACGUGAGACGGACUAGUCAUCAUCGGUGAACAUCUUCAUGUUGAUCGUAUCUUCUAUACGACUCAUGCUCGACCUUUCGGUCUCCGUGUUCCGAGGCCAUGUCUGCACAUGCUAGGAUCAUCAAGUUAACCCUAAGUGUUUCCGCUGUGUAAAACUGUCUUACACCCGUUGUAUGUGAACGUAAGAAUCCAUCACACCCGAUCAUCACGUGGUGCUUAGAAGCGACAAACUGUAGCAACGGUGCACAACUAGGGGAGAACACUUCUUGAAAUUUUGUAAGGGAUCAUCUUAUUUACUACCGUCGUCCUAAGUAAACAAGAUGCAUAAUCAUAAUAAACAUCACAUGCAAUUAUAUAGUUGUGACAUGAUAUGGCCAAUAUCAUAUAGCUCCAUUGAUCUCCAUCUUCGGGGCUCCAUGAUCAUCUUGUCACCGGCUUGACACCAUGAUCUCCAUCAUCAUGAUCUCCAUCAUCGUGUCUUCAUGAAGUUGUCACGCCAAUGACUACUUCUACUUCUAUGGCUAACGCGUUUAGCAAUAAAGUAAAGUAAGUUACAUGGCGUUCUUCAAUGACACGCAGGUCAUACAAUAAAUUAAAGACAACUCCUAUGGCUCCUGCCGGUUGUCAUACUCAUCGACAUGGAAGUCGUGAAUCCUAUUACAAGAACAUGAUCAAUCUCAUACAUCACAUAUCAUUCAUCACAUUCUUCUUGGCCAUAUCACAUCACAUAGCAUACCCUGCAAAAACAAGUUAGACGUCCUCUAAUUGUUGUUUGCAUGUUUUACGUGGCUGCUAUGGGUUUCUAGCAAGAACGUUUCUUACCUACGCAAUACCACAACGUGAUAUGCCAAUUGCUAUUUACCCUUCAUAAGGACCCUUUUCAUCGAAUCCGUUCCGACUAAAGUGGGAGAGACUGGCACCCGCUAGCCACCUUAUGCACCAAGUGCAUGUCAAUCGAUGGAACCUGUCUCACGUAAGAGUACGUGUAAGGUCGGUCCGGGCCGCUUCAUCCCACAAUACCGUCGAAACAAGAUUGGACUAGUAACGGUAAGCAUAUUGAACAAAAUCAACGCCCACAACUACUUUGUGUUCUACUCGUGCAAAGAAUCUACGCAAUAGACCUAGCUCAUGAUGCCACUGUUGGGGAACGUAGCAGAAAUUCAAAAUUUUCCUACGUGUCACCAAGAUCUAUCUAUGGAGAAACCAGCAACGAGGGGAAGGAGAGUGCAUCUACAUACCCUUGUAGAUCGCUAAGCGGAAGCGUUCAAGUGAACGGGGUUGAUGGAGUCGUACUCGUCGUGAUUCAAAUCACCGAUGAUCAAGUGUCGAACGUACGGCACCUCCGCGUUCAACACACGUACAGCCCGGUGACGUUUCCCACGCCUUGAUCCAGCAAGGAGAGAGGGAGAGGUUGAGGAAGACUCCAUCCAACAGCAGCACAACGGCGUGGUGGUGGUGGAGGAGCGUGGCAAUCCCGCAGGGCUUCGCCAAGCACCAUGGGAGAGGAGGAGUGGGGAGAGACAGGGCUGCACCAAGAGGGAGAGAACUCAUGUGUAUGGCAGCCCCAAACCUCAACUAUAUAUAGGGGGAAGGAGGGGCUGCGCCCCCUUUAGGGUUUCCCACCCCCAAGGGGUGCGGCCAGCCCUAGAUGGCAAAGGGGGUGGCGGCCAAGAGGGGAGAGGAGAGGGAGGCGCACCAAUAUGGGCCUUAAGGCCCAUCUGGACUAGGGUUUGCCCCCUCCCACUCUCCCUUGUGCCUUGGCCCCCUUGUGGGGGGCGCACCAGCCCUCCUAGGGGCUGGUCCCCUCCCACACUUGGCCCACGCAAUCUUCUGGGGCAGGUGGCCCCACUUGGUGGACCCCCGGGACCCUCCCGGUGGUUCCGGUACAAUACCGAUAUCGCCCGAAACUUUUCCGGUGACCAAAACAGGACUUCCCAUAUAUAAAUCUUUACCUCCGGACCAUUCCGGAACUCCUCGUGACGUCCGGGAUCUCAUCCGGGACUUCGAACAACAUUCGGUAACCACAUACAAGCUUCCUUUAUAACCCUAGCGUCACCGAACCUUAAGUGUGUAGACCCUAUGGGUUCGGGAGACAUGUAGACAUGACCGAGACGUUCUCCGGUCAAUAACCAACAGCGGGAUCUGGAUAUCCAUGAUGGCUCCCACAUGUUCCACGAUGAUCUCAUCGGAUGAACCACGAUGUCAAGGACUUAAUCAAUCCCGUAUUCAAUUCCCUUUGUCUAUCGGUAUGUUACUUGCCCGAGACUCGAUCGUCGGCAUCCAAUACCUUGUUCAAUCUCGUUACCGGCAAGUCACUUUACUCGUUCCGUAACACAUCAUCCCGUGAUCAACUCCUUGGUCACAUUGCGCAUAUGAUGAUGUCCUACCGAGUGGGCCCAGAGAUACCUCUCCGUUUACACGGAGUGACAAAUCCCAGUCUCGAUCCGCAUAAAACAAUAGAUACUUUCGAAGAUACUUGUAGUGCACCUUUAUAGUCACCCAGUUACGUUGUGAUGUUUGAUACACCCAAAGCACUCCUACGGUAUCUAGGAGUUACACGCUCUCAUGGUCAAAGGAAGAGAUACUUGACAUUUGGCAAAGCUCUAGCAGACGAACUACACGAUCUUUGUGCUAGGCUUAGGAUUGGGUCUUGUCCAUCACAUCAUUCUCCUAAUGAUGUGAUCCCGUUAUCAACGACAUCCAAUGUCCAUAGCCAGAAAACCAUGACUAUCUGUUGAUCACAACGAGCUAGUCAACUAGAGGCUCACUAGGGACAUGGUGUUGUCUAUGUAUUCACACGUGUAUUAUGAUUUCCGGAUAAUACAGUUAUAGCAUGAAUAAAAGACUAUUAUCAUGAACAAAGAAAUAUAAUAAUAAUCAAUUUAUUAUUGCCUCUAGGGCAUACUUCCAACAGGUCCAUCUCCUCCACCGCCUUGGCCAGCAAUUCUGGGUUGUUCACCAUCUCCGCCAGCGCCCACUCCACUGCGUUUGACGGGUUAUCUAUGGCCGCUAAUAUUAUGCCCUGCAUGCAUUCCAUGG
rnacentral:lncRNA from 1 species